rnacentral:lncRNA from 7 species
CUUUGUGCCACCCUUUUGCCACUACAGCCCAGCCUUCCAGGCCUGCUGCAAAGGUCAGCCCUGACUUGGCAGAGGAAGAGCAAGGGUCAGAAAACCGGGAUGGGGAAGGACUUAUUGAAGAACACGUGCAACCUGAUGAACCAGCUCCUCUGCAAAGUGGUGAGAGAAGGCUGAGGGCAUGGGACCAUGCAGGUACGCUAUGAAUUCUUCCUCCACCGCAGAAGGAUUGGGAUGCAGAAUUCAUCCUGGGAAGGAAAGUCUGGAAAACCGCUUUAGUGUUUUGUGGACCAUUAAAAAAAAAAAAAAAAAGGAAAAAAGAGGGAUAUUUGUCAUUGCAGUGAUAAAACUGUGAGCAGCUUGGAGUUCAGUCAUGCCAGGGAGAGAAUAUGAUACUUUACACGAACACGUCAAGGUUUGGCAGCAAAAAGAAAACCAGAGGAAGACUGACGGAGAAAAUGCAGUCACGAUUCGGUGAAAAAAUGGCUACGAAGGCUCUUCUGUCUGCUCUGCCUUCAUUUUUACUUGGGCACCGCUUUGUCAAGGCAAGGGUUAUGGAAAUAAUCAGUGGAUUCACAACAAGAACAGAAGUGCUAAUGUGGUACCGAGUCCCCAAGUAAAUAAACAAUUUCC